CUAUUUUUAAGUAGUGAGCAUACUUUCAUCUCAUUUUUAGCUGCAAUGCUGACACAUCCCUUCAGUCCUCUUAUGACUCCAGCUCCUGGUCUGGGAUUCUGGAUGAGUUUCGCUGGAUCAUGGACUGGAGACGCUGAGAGCAGGCUGCACCUUCUGUGUCUGCCUGGCACCAUGUGUAUGUUAUAUAAGAAAUGGCUUCCUGGACUCAAACCCUCCCUCCACCCUCGCUGGCUUGGUGACCAGGACCAAGUCACUUGACUUCUCAGUUACUGGGUGGCCUGAGCUGCAAGAAAGGGAUAAUCACUGGAGUGGUUGGAGUGUCAAAUGGGCUGAUUCAGACAGUAUCUCGCUAAGUUGCCCAAGGUGGACUAGAACUUGUGAUCCUCCUGCCUCAGCAUCCUGAGAAACUGGGAUUUCAGGUAUGUAUCACUGCACCUGGCCACAGCUGCUAUGUGGCAGCUGUUAUGCUUGUGGGACCUCUGGGGUCCUGACAAGGGUGGCUUCUUUGCCAAUACCCUGGGCAUCCUAUGGGGGGGUCAAGCUGGGCCCACUCCUGGAGUCUGGUGGGCUCCCCUGCCCUGCACUGUGCCCCUGCUCACUCAGAAUGACGGUGCUCAGGGUGACACCUGAGAUGCUGAAGCCACACAGGAAGCGGAAGACCAGGUAGACUGGAAGGCUGGGGCUGAAGGCUGUGCUUGAGCCAGAAGUGGCCAGCAGGAGGAAGCUGAGGGUCAGGACGGGCUUGCGGCCAAACCUGCAGCAAGGGACGGAGCUCAUCUGACCAUGGAGCAGGGGUCAAAGGAGCAGCCCCACAGCUGUGUUGAAGCACAUGGGGACCUCGGGUCUGGGGGACCAGAAGCUGCAGCUAUGAGGGCUGGGAUAGGUGGUGGCCUGGACAGGUGGACCUCCCCAUACCCCCUCGCUGCAUCCAGCAGAGAUGAGCCUCACCUGUCAGAUAUCUUCCCCAGCGUCAGGCCCCCAAUCAGGAUGCCUGCCAUGAAGAUCGACUGUGCCAUCUCCUUGAGCUUGGCGGAGCCGCACACCAGGUCCCACUGCAGAGGUCCAGAUGGGCACUGGUCAGAACCCUCCUUCCAGGCCCAGAUCUCCUCUGCCUGCUUGCGUCCUAUGGCCCCUGCCCAUGCUGUGUGACACAGUGUCCCUGGGGCCUGUGUGGCCUCUAGCUCUCUGGCCUGACCUGUCUUCUAUGCUGUCCAUGUCCUGGCAGUUCCCUGCUCCCCUCUUCUCUUCCUCACACCUUGACCUUACCCCCUCCUCCAAGGGACAUCACUGCUGUCUCCCACCGUGCCCACUGUCAGUCUCUGCCACAGUCCUUUCUGUGUUGCCUCCACCUCUCAUCACCCCACAAAGCAAGGUCUCCUAGGAAGGAGCUGUGCCCCACAUCUCACCGCUCAGAGACUCUAGAAUGCAUGCACCAUGCUCACCACACCAGCACAAGGUCCUGUCACUCUGGCAGCAGGACCCUCUGUGUGCUACAUGGCUUGUCUGCAAUGUUGUGGACAGUGCUGUCCUCCCCCUACCCUAAUGUCCCCUCUCUUUGCCCUACUCCCUUCUCUCUGCACAGCCACCAGCACCCCUAGGGCCCCUGGUCCCCCUCUGUCCUCCUGUCCCUGUGACACUGAUGACUGCUGAUACCCAAGAUGCCGCCCCAUUUCUCUAGCAAGCUGACUUAGCUGUUGCUUGACAACUCACUUAGGUGGCAUCACUGACAUGGCUCAGACUCAGAGGGACGUACCCCCUGUCCUUGCAGAUCCCAAGUGAAGUGACUGGUGCCCUCUCUUUUUAAAUAAAUAUUUAAAAACGU